rnacentral:rRNA from 1 species
CGUGGGUAACCUGCCCAAGAGAUCGGGAUAACACCUGGAAACAGAUACUAAUACCGGAUAACAACAGAUGAUGCCUAUCAACUGUUUAAAAGAUGGUUCUGCUAUCACUCUUGGAUGGACCUGCGGUGCAUUAGCUAGUUGGUAGGGUAACGGCCUACCAAGGCGAUGAUGCAUAGCCGAGUUGAGAGACUGAUCGGCCACAUUGGGACUGAGACACGGCCCAAACUCCUACGGGAGGCAGCAGCG